rnacentral:rRNA from 1 species
GACGUAGGGCGCGAGCGUUGUCCGGAUUUAUUGGGCGUAAAGAGCUCGUAGGCGGCCUGUUGCGUCCGCUGUGAAAGCCCGGGGCUUAACCCCGGGUCGGCAGUGGAUACGGGCAGGCUAGAGGUAGGUAGGGGAGAAUGGAAUUCCCGGUGUAGCGGUGAAAUGCGCAGAUAUCGGGAGGAACACCUGAGGUGAAGACGGGUUGCUGGGCUGACACUGACGCUGAGGCGCGAAAGCCAGGGGAGCAAACGGG